UUGGUGGGGUAACGGCUCACCAAGGCCACGAUGUCUAGGGGUUCUGAGAGGAAGGUCCCCCACACUGGAACUGAGACACGGUCCAGACUCCUACGGGAGGCAGCAGUGAGGAAUAUUGGACAAUGGUCGGAAGACUGAUCCAGCCAUGCCGCGUGAAGGUUACGGUCCUAUGGAUUUUAAACUUCUUUUGUAUGGAAGCAAUAAGGUGCACGUGUGCAUCGAUGAGAGUACCAUACGAAUAAGCAUCGGCUAACUCCGUGCCAGCAGCCGCGGUAAUACGGAGGAUGCAAGCGUUAUCCGGAUUUAUUGGGUUUAAAGGGUGCGUAGGCGGAUUAAUAAGUCAGCGGUGAAACUCACAGGCUCAACCUGUGCCGUGCCGUUGAAACUGUUUAUCUUGAAUGCGGAUGCUGUGGGAGGAAUGUGUAGUGUAGCGGUGAAAUGCAUAGAUAUUACACAGAACACCGAUUGCGAAGGCAUCUCACAAAGCCGUGAUUGACGCUGAGGCACGAAAGUGUGGGGAUCAAACAGGAUUAGAUACCCUGGUAGUCCACUACUGUAAACGAUGAUAACUCGCUGCCGGCGAUAUAUAGUCGGUGGCCCAGCGAAAGC
rnacentral:rRNA from 1 species